rnacentral:lncRNA from 1 species
GAGCUCUAAGAAUUAAAGGUGUUGACAGGACGGAUGGGACAGGUUUACAAUAGUUGCAAGCUUUUUUUCAUCCAGUUUUCUGUCUAUUUAAAACAUUUGGCUGUUUAAAAUUUUUUUUAAAUUUUAUUUAGGGAAAAGAGAGAGAGCAGGGGAGAGGGGCAAAAGGAGAGAGAGAGAGGGAGAGAAUCCUAAGCAGGCUCCACACUCAGUGGGCAGAGCCUGACUCGGGGCUCAAUCCCACAACCCUGGGAUCCUGACCUGAGCUGAAAUCAAGAGGCACUCAACCGACUGAGCCACUCAGGUUCCCCGAACUCCUGACAGUGUUAAAGCAUCAUCAGAUAUUUAUUGAAGUACUAUGUGCGGGUUUCUUUUUUUUUUUUUAAUAUUUUUCAUGUAUAUUUAUUUUUGAGAGAGAAAGGGAAAGAGUGCGAGUGUGGGAUGGUCAGAGAAAUUCUGAAGCAGGCUCCGGGCUCUGAGCUGUCAGCACAGAGCACGAUGCAGGGCUGGAACUCAAAAACUGCAAGAUCAUGACCUGAGCUGAAGCCGGACGCUCAACCAACUGAGCCACCCAGGUGCCGCGAAUGUGUUGAUUCUAAACCUCAUGCUUCUAGGUUUCUUCUCUCUUGCCUUCUUGCAAGUCUAUGUAAGUCAAAUUAUCUGCCUUAUAUUGCAGAUGAGGUCUGCAGUGGUGUUUGCUAAAUUUGCAUUAUCUGAGUUGAGCCCAGCCCUCGGGCACGCCACGUCUUUACCCCAGCCUACCAGCCCCAAACACAGUCUUCCUCUUUCCUCCCCAGGCACCCACGCCAGAAAACUGGGAACUGUGCUGACCUCUUUCUUUCUUCACGUGCAGCCAACCAAAGCCCCAGCAGAUUCUGGAACUCCUUGCUCUGAGCUUGGCCCAGACGGCGGGGUCACACGAAGGAUCCCACGCGAGAGACCACUGUCCACGUGAAGCCGCCCUGCACCUUCGUCAUCCUCAUUUCUGCCCACGGUCUCAGCCCGGGACCAGCACACCCAGCAUGUGCACACGCCCAGACACACGCACACAACCCGUCCCCCCACCGCGAGGCAUGCUCUUCGGAGGCAACCCCGGUGGGACAGGAACUACAGAUUCCACAUAACAACCCAGAAAGGGACGCUUGGGUCCAAUGUGCCGGAGGCGACCUUGAACGUGUUGCUUCUAAUCCCCGGUUUGGAAAACGGGAAGGGUUUUCGCUGCCGGGAUGGGACAAAGGGAGGCGCCAAACAGCAGAGAAAAGACCCUUCUCCUGGGCUCCUGACUAGGCAAGCCUCCCCAGGAAAGGAGAACUCUCCUUCCUCCCCCUGCGCCCAGCCCUGCUCCCUCCACCCUCCCCAAUCAUUUCAGUCUCACCUUGUGUCACUUCUAACAUCUGAACUCUGCGCGCCUUGGCCUUGGGAAGCCCGGAUGAGUCUUGCCUGCUGCUUACGGCUCUGCACUGAGCAAGUACUCGGGUCCUCUGGAGACGGGGGUGCUGGCAGGGCACUUCUCGAUGUUUCUUUCACAAGAAGCUUCAAGUGUCCAGUUAUGGUUGCAUUCUGAUCAUUCACAGGCUCCGAAACAAGAACCAGCCUCCCUAUCUUUUACAGGGAGCCUCAAAAUAACAUGCGCCCAGUAAGAGAGAAAGUCACAUAAACACCGUUCACACACAAACACUCAGAUUCACUUACGAGCCGGGGCAAGGAAGCACAUAGAGGCUUUUCUGAAAUGCCUUCUCUCUGCCGCACCAACGCAAGGACACGCCUAGAACCCCCGGGGCACCUACGUCGACAGAGGCCUGGAUACUGUGGCGACACACGUGUGCAAACAGACAUGGUCAGACCCAGGCACACGCCCCGCUGUGGACCCGUCCACUUCCCCGGGGGACCCAGGUUUUAGCCUGAACAACGCAAGCCACAGAGGAUGUGCAGCAUGGCCAGUCCGCUGGUGAGUG